rnacentral:rRNA from 1 species
UACGUAGGGGCCUAGCGUUGUCCGGAAUUAUUGGGCGUAAAGAGCUCGUAGGCGGUUCGGUAAGUCGGAUGUGAAAUCUCCACGCUCAACGUGGAGGGGCCAUUCGAAACUGCCGUGACUCGAGUCCGGUAGGGGAGUGUGGAAUUCCCGGUGUAGCGGUGAAAUGCGCAGAUAUCGGGAGGAACACCAGUAGCGAAGGCGGCACUCUGGGCCGGUACUGACGCUGAGGAGCGAAAGCGUGGGGAGCGAACAGG